rnacentral:rRNA from 1 species
AUGGACGCGCUCGUCUCGGCGGCGGUGGAGGAGGUCUGCGCCCGCCUCUCCCUGGGCCUCCCGGUGGCGGACCUCUGGGCCGCGCUCUCCGGCGCGUUCCGGGCGGCCGGCCUCCCCCCCGGCCUGCCCGUCAGGCGCGUCCUCUUCGCCCGCCUCCUCGCCCUCCCCGUCAUCAGCCUCAUGGAGGGCGAGGAGGGGGCGCUCGUCCCCUCCCCGGAGAAGGGCGACGUGGAGGCGGCCGAGCGGCGCGGCGCCCGGCUGGUCGCCAGCCCGGCCCUGGGGGACAACUUCCUGGGGAUCUACGACCACCGGUGCUCCGGCUCCAAGCUCAGCGACAACCAGAGGAAGACGCUGGAACAUGUCGCUGCAAGCAGGACUUCCGGUGUUGCGCAAAGGACUCUGUCGAAGAGGUUCCACAUAGAACCAAACAAGUUCUAUUUUGUUGUCAAGACCCUUCAGUCGCAGGGGUUAGUUGCUGGAAAACAAGCAAUUGUAAAGUCUAAUGGCAUUGGGGGUGAGAGCGAAGAUGAUUCAGGGAAAAGUCUUGUCGGCAGUACCAACUUACUGUAUCUCUCAAGAUACGCCAAAGGAUUGGAUAUGAACUCGCAUCAAAGAAUAGAGAUUACAAACACAGACGCUUUACAAGAAGAUGAGACCCUUGGUGUAGACCACAAGAGCCAUGUCUCUAUUCACGAUCAUCUUCCAGCAAUGAAAGCCAUAUGUGACAAACUUGAAGAAGCCAGCGGAAAGGUCCUUGCUAUUUCAGAUAUAAAAAAGGAUCUUGGUUACAGCAAGCCACGUGGGCACAGGGCAUGGAGAAAUGUACUGUGUAGGCUUUUAGAUGCACAGCUUGUUGAAAAAAUCAGUGCCAAAGUUGACAAUAAGGUUGUUGGCUGCUUGCGCCUUCUGAAGAAAUUUAAUCCAGAUGAGUUUAAGCCAAAAAGUACAGCCUUAAACUACAAACUUGGCAUGAAAUGCCUUGCAACGGAUCAACUUAUGGAGCUUCCAUUAGACAACUGCAUAUACGAUAUGAUCCAUGCCCAAGGGCCAAAAGGUGCAACUCUUGUUGAGCUUGGCAGACGUCUUGGGGGCAAGCACAGCAAUCCAAAAGAGCUUGGUAGAAGAGUGUCUUCAAUGGUUAAAAAAUUCAAUUUGGCUUCGCAGGGUGAAGUCAUAGAUAAAACAACACAAUACCGAUUUUGGACUUCAGAAAACUUCUCACUGCACAAAGCAAAUACUGCUUUGCAGAAUUGUGAUGCGCUAGAUGAUCAUGACCAUCGUCCCGAUUUGUGGCUUUCUAUUCCAUCUAAAGAAUCAGAUUCUCUUAGCCCACAGGGUGAUUCAUUUGUUGAUGACAAACUCUUGUUUGAAGAAGAUUGUUCUGAAAAACCAGUCGUACUUGUACAUCAUCUCCCUAAUAACCAUGAAGCUUCUGUCGGAGUUUCUCAAGUUGAACAAGUUGCCUUUCAGAGCAAGAGGCGUCGUUGGCCCUUGUCAACUUCUGAUGAUGGGAGACAGAAAAGGAUUCUUCACAUAUUAGAGAAAAAGGAUUUUGUACUGAUGGUGGAGUUACGUAAAUGGUUAGAGAAAAAGGAAAAUGGAAAAAUAAUGGACAGGAAGACAUUGAUUCGCACUUUGAAUAAGCUUCAGCUAAAGUGUAUCAAAGUUAAUGCCCCUCUUGUUACAGACUACACUGGCAGUCGUUCUGUUGAUGUGAUACUGAAUCCUUCUGUCAAGGUCAUGUCACCGGAACUCAUGGAUCAAAUUAGGAACAGACUAAGGAAUUUUGAUUCUCAAAGGCGUUCAAGUGCGGCAGCUAAAUUGAAGCAAAAGCAUACGCUUGCCAUACAUGGAUUGAAGGUUCAACGCAGAGCCAAAGUUAAAAAAAUACCAAUAUCAGAAGCUAUUCAUGCCAAUGGAUUCAUAGGUGCAAAGAUGAUUCGGGCAAAGCUGUUACAUAAAUUUCUGUGGGAAUAUGUUAGUGGUUUGCCAAAUCUUCAUUGUGCCAAAGAAGGGCAGCAUGACAAGAACCUUAAUCAAUCGUGUCAGUUUUCGAUCACAGCAGCUAUAAAAGAAAUGCCUCUUGAACUCUUUCUACAAGUUGUGGGAUCAGCAAAGAUUGACAGCAGCACUGUAACUAAGUGUUGUGGGAGAACACUUUCAGAGAUUCCUAUCGGCGUAUACAGUCAGCUCACGGGCACUCAUGCCAAGGGCCGCCUCUCACGCUUAGUAACUAUUUUAAAUAGGCUCAAGUUGAUCGAACUUGUUAGCAACCAUGUAGAGGAUUCUGAUGUGCGAUCAGGGGAUAUCCCUACAUAUUCGCUGGAGCUCAGGCCUUACAUUGAAGAACCAGCACCAAGCAUUGUUCAGUCAUCACACGUCAGUGUGAACCAUGGUCCAAAAUUUCGGCAUGAUUUUGUGCUUUCAAAGCAGGAAUCUGUCGAUGCUUACUGGGAAACAUUAAAGUACUGUUAUCUAACAGUUGGUUCAGCUGAGCCAAGUGCCUUCCCUGGUAAUUGUGUUCCUGAGGUUUGUCAUGUACGGUCAUGGAGUUCAGUAAGAGUAAUGACUACCAAACAACGUCUGGAAUUACAAACGCGUCUCAUGAAUGAAAACGAGAAGGGAAUAAUUCCUCACAAAGUUUGCUGUAUAAUUGCAAAGGAUUUGAAUCUCUCUGUGCAGCAGGUGCUUUAUGCUUCCUCCAAGAAUAGACAGCUUCAUGGACAGGCAAGCAUUUCUGAUACGCAACAUCAACAAAAAUCUAAUUCUAGAUCAACCUCUCAGAAAAGGAAAAGAUCGGCUAAUGAGAUUGCCAUGAAGUUUAUUAAGCAAAAAGUUGAAGCUAGUGGAUCAUCCUCACAGAGGUUAGUCAAGUCUAUUCUGGAUGGAGAAAUAACAGAGAAAAUCUCUCCAUCACUCACUGGCCUACCAGAACAACGUCAUCGAGCUGGCAUUACUCCCACACACAACAUUGUUGGUACUUUCUUGCAUACAAAUAAAGACAAGAGGGGCAGCAGACGCUUGGUAAAGAAAAUUUUCUUUUGGACAUCCGAAUCUGACAGAAAAUUGCUCAUGGCAUACAGUAGAUACCGCACAAGACGUGGAGCAAAAAUAUCCCGUGUAGCUUGGAACUCUAUUUCUGAUCUUCCAGCUCUACCAGCUGCAUGUCGUAAAAGGAUGUCAAGUUUAAGAGCUAAAACAAACAUAAGAACAGCUGUGAAUCGAAUCUGCAACAUUCUUGCAAUACGGUACAAGAGAUCAAAAGCAAAAGAAUUAUCAAAUUCUAGUUAUGAGAAUUCUGCAGAUUCAGAUUCUGAGGUAUUCAAUUGGGAUAAUUUCAAUGAUCCGGAAAUAAGAAAUGCACUUGAUGAAAUCCUUGAAUUCAUUCGUCUAGGAAACAUGGGCCAGACCAAUCGGAUUAGUCCAGAGAGCGAAAGGAGGAAUGAUGAUGCCGCUGAGGAAAUUCCAACUGAGCAGGUUAUGCAAUGUCCAACCAGCACAAGCACUGUAGCUCCAGAGAUCGUGGAAUUGUGUACAUGUUCCAAUUCAAUGCAUCCAAGUAAAAACAUGGCAAUUCCCUGCAGUGUUCAUGAAAACAACAUUAAACCCAACAAAGCUGAAAUUACUAAAAGAGGUGUAUGCAAAUCCUUGGCAAUUGCCAAUGCAUUAGAGCUCCUGAAGGUGUUUCUUCUCAGUUCAUUAUCGGCUUCAGAAGCACAAGCUGCAUUAAAAGCCACCUUUCAGCUUUAUUCAGAGAGUGAAAUUUUUACUGCCCUUUCCUUUCUGAGAGGGAAGAACUUCUUGGUUACUGGAAAUGGAAUGAAACUUGUAACCCUUUCUGGAAAAUUCUUCUUUGAUGCUUCUUAUUCACCCUUCCCAUAUGGUUCAGGGAAAAAGGCUUCUGAAUUUUUGAAAUGGCUUAUAGGGCAACGAAAGAAUAUUGUGGACAGUACAGUUUAUUUGCAUCCAGAUCCACAAUGCGGGGAAAUUGUUCACCUCUUUUCUCUUGUGUUGUCAGGAGAGCUACUCAUUUCACCUUCCUUACCAAGUGAAGGAGUUGGUGAGGCUGAUGAACCUAACAGCUUCAGUCCUUCAAUCGAGGAUAGCAGUGAUUUGGAUGACUGUACUUACAAACGCAAGAGUACAGAGUUGGAAAGCAGUAGGACUAAGAGACACAAACCUUUUCCCCAUAUAGAUAGCCGCCGAGAGAAAGGUUUCCCUGGUAUCCAAGUGGCUUUGAAUCAAGAGAUGAUCCAAACAAACAAUCCCAUGCAGGUGUUACAUCAUAAAGAAUGCCUUAUGUUUACUUUAGCUAGGGAAAUGGGCAGCAAGGAUGUUGAUUCAAAGGUAGAAAGCCGUGACAUGUUGCCAGACUUAAACGAUCUGAAUUCAUGUCGCUGUUUAUUGUCUGCAUUUCAUUUGGAGAAUUCUUAUAGAGGAUGGCCUUGGGAUGCUAUGAAAUUAUAUGCCGAACAGUUACCAUCAUUGUGUUGUAAUAAAAAUGAACCGAUCGUUCUUUCAUCUGACCUGUUCAGAAAUGCAUUUUGUAUUAUUCGUCAAACUGGUGAACAAGGAGUUAAUCUGAGGGAAAUGUCACAGGCACUGCAUCCACUAGGCAUGCAAUCUAUCAGUUUGGUUGUUGAUAUGCUUGAGAGAUUUCAGCUGGCCAUUAAGGUCAAUGCAUAUGAUGGUGUGCAGAUUGUUGACUCAUUACAUAAGCCAAAGUAUCAUAUAACCACACUCGCCGAGUACAGCCAUUGCAGCUGUUUGCGAGCUCCAGGUUCUGAAAUGGCAUCAACUGGAGACACCAGAAAUAUACUGAAAGAGAAGCACUCGACGAUGCCUCUUAAUUUGCAUGGAACUGUAAGGAAGCUUGGCGAGGGGCACACUGUCACAGUUGUUGAUGUUGAAAGGAAGUCAAGCUCUCAUUUGCAGAGUGGAAGUCCUGGAGAUGAUGAAAGGCCAUCUACUUGCUGUCAUGUUUGCAGAAGUCGUAUUUAUCAUCCAAUAUUACCGUGGAUAAACGGCGAUGGCAGCACGAAUAGCACUGUCUAUGAAGGUUUAAGCCGUCGUAUUAUUGGAUAUGUCAUGCAAUAUCCAGGAAUUUCGGAGGAGGACGUAAUCCGUCGGAUGGACGUACUGAAUCCUCAGACAUGCAGGACCUUGCUGGGGAAGCUGACAGUUGACAAACACCUGUAUGUUCAUGUUGGGGUGUUUGAUGAAGAUGUGCCUAGUGCUCCCACCAUGCUGCGGGGUCUUUUGAAGCAAGGUCGCUGUGAAGAACGCUCCAAGUCUGCAAGGCGGCGCUACUUCGCGAAUCCGAUGAGCACCUUCAUGCUGUAG